ensembl:lncRNA
AAAGAAACAAAACAAAACUACACAAAAGCUGAUUUCAGUACAGAAUACAAAUUCAAGUAAUGCCAGCAGUGAACAAAGCAUCGACCUGACCAUUCAACAGCUGCACACCUGACCAAAUACUGUUCCUGUCCUCCUCUGUUCCUGGCCCUGCUGCAUGAUCCUGUAUUCCGGGAGCCGCUCUUGCAGAUGUGUAACGUCAGCUGGGGUGCCAAGAGAGAAGUCUCAAGGCAUCUUUUCUUCCCCCUGCCUUAGAUCACAGCCAGAAAGUGUUCUUGGGGCUCACAAAGACUUGGAUACACCAGGACAAUUUGGAGCCUGCACAUCUCAGGAUAGAGAAGCAAUACAUCAGCUACCAAUCUUGCUGUCGCAAGGCUGGAAGACAACCUGGGGACUGUCUGCCUUGGGCCUGUACCUUAGCAUCCCAUACACUAUCUCCUAGUUUUUCUUUCCAAGAUUCAAAUGGCACGUGUGUCCUCUUACAGCUCCAAAGUGGACCAGGAGAAAGAGGCAACGAACACCACCAUAAAGCCUCUUUGAUACCAGGGACCUAUAUAUAGGAGAAAUAUGGGAAAUUCUAUUAUUUACCUCUGUUGGAAUGGGAAAUGAAAACAGCUGAUGCUAGCAGGGCUCUCAGCCACAGACAGAGCACUUGUCAGUACACAGGAACCCUGCAGGACAACCAGACACCCUCAGAAAGCAAAGUGAAGCACACAGUGUGCUGAAAAAGAUUGGUGAGGCACUAAACAUUUACUUUCCCUUCUGUAUUAUCUUCUUGUAAGAGGACAAAAAAACUAUUUGAUCUUUUUCUUCUGGUAAAUUUUAUGAAAUUACUUAAAAAAUACUGUGUGACACGUUUCCAUUAGCAGCAGCCCUGGUUCUUUACUAAUUAAUAUAGGAAAUAUAUGAAAAAAAAAAAUUGGCUAGAGCUAAUUCUUUGGGAAACAGAAAUGCCUGAUUUGAUAUCUUGGCCUGGUCACUGGACAAAAAAAAACCCAACAGGGCACUGUACCUAAAUUAGGCAGCAAGGGGAAAAGGGUGUGCUACAGCCCAGUCUGCUCUGGGGUUUAGGUGCCCUGUUCAGGUUCAGCAGGACAUGCUUCUUCUCACUCUGGAUUCACAGCUCUGAAAACUUAAUUAUAGUUUUUCACCUUGCAUUAAUUAACAUGAGAAGCGGAGACACCUCUCUUCACGCUACUCUUCCUCCACCCACCCCCUAUCCUCGGAUAACCCAUCCCCUGCGGGUUAGCUCUCCCUGGGCACAGUUUUGCAUUCCUAUGGGGAGGAGGCACCUGGGCAGCCUGGGUGAGGCUGCUCACGAGGGCUGAGGCCUCCUCGGUCUGCUGCCUGUUGGAGGGAAGGGAAUGUAUUUUGUGUAACUCCUUCCCCCCUUGAAGCAUUGCUCUUGCGUAGAAUCAUAGAAUCAUUAUGGUUGGAAAAGACCAAGAUGAUCUAGGCUGACUAUCAACCCAGCACAAUCAUGCCCACUAAACCAUGUCCCUCAGUGCCACGUUUCUUCAACACCUCCAGGGACAGUGACUCCAACACCUCCCUGGGCAGCCUCUGCCAAUGCCUCACCACUCUUUCUGAGAAGACAUUUUUCUGAAUACCCAACCUGAACAUCCCAUGGCUCAACUUGAAGCCACUACCUCUCUCAUUUGGUACAUGCCAAGUGCUCAUGAACUGCUGUACUUUUCAGCCCAGCUGACAAGGAGUUGGAGCCAGCCUGGAUGGAGGGGAAACUGAGGUGGUCUCGGUGGCUGCAGAGUGACACUGCUUCAGAGCAGCACACCCAGGUUGGCUGAUGACAACUCAAAGCUGCCAGGGUGACAUUUUUGGUCCUCUUUCACGGCUGAAUUUGGGAUUCAGGCCAUUCCUCAGGCACCAGAUUGCAUCUUAGAAGGAGAGAGAGCACGGGAAAGACUGCAGAACGGGACACAUGGACUUCACAGGGCUUAAAACUUAGUAAAGAAAGACAAAAUUUAAAAAUUUGCAAAACGGUUCAUGAAAAUCAUUUACCAUCUUCAACCUCCAAAGCAGUGAAGCAAGUUUGACUGCACAACUAAAGUAGUCUAACUCUGUACCGACUAUUUGUGUUAAUCCACUUAUUUAUGAGAAGCAUCUGAGAAAAACAAACUUGUAUUUUUUUGCCAAAGCUUCUAUGCCGACAGCACUAUACCCUCCUCUCUCCCACUGCUUUCUUUCCCCUGAGUGUUAAACAACAGAGAGGCAAAAGAUGGGGGGGGGGAGGGCGGGGGUGCCGACACCACUGCUCUCAGUGGGUUCCUUCGGUGGUAAACGCGCUCAGCUCGAAGGGAGUCAUAAGAUAACGCACGCUUCUGUUUCGCACCAGCCGGGAGCCCCCGCCCCGCGCUCGACAGCUUUCAGCCCAAGUCGCGCCUUCGGACGGCGACAGCGGGACGAGGAAGGUCUGCCACUCGCCCUGUGCUGCCCAUCCGGCGGAGCUGGGAGCGCGGAGCUCCCGGACCCCCCGGCCGCACGCUCGCCCG